rnacentral:lncRNA from 1 species
AUCCUUUAGAUGAUGAUGUUGUCGAUUGGUUUUACCUGUUAUUCUGUAAUUGCUUCAUCUUGAAUCAAGAUUCAAUUGAUAACAUUGAGGCAAAUGCCAUGCUCAAAAUUAGAUACCUGGCAGAGAAACAGAGAUUGACAUAGGAGUAUCAUUAUCUUCUAUAUAGAUUAUUUUACUGUUUCACAGGAAACAAAAUUUUAACAAAUAUGUUCGAGCAUCAGAGCACGAGUUCUUCGUUAGUUUUGAAGAUAGCCCCAAAUGGGCCCAGUGGGAGUAGAUUCUAGGCCUUUUCCAUCAGCUUUGUGGCUGAUCUCACGCGCUGCCACCACCAUGAAUAUCUUAAAUUUAUCUAUGAAUACCAAUUGACAACCGCCAGUGGUGGUGAUUAUGAAAAGUUCACAAGUCAGUAGAGUUCCUGUACAGACCUUGAGACGGAGAGGAAGUAUAUAAGUGAUCAUGUGCUGAUUCUGUUUAGUGAGCAUAUGGUUAAAAAAAAGAGGAUUAUCAGGGGGCUUCAUUUGAAUUCUACAUUGAAAAUCCCAAUUACAAUGUAGAAGGAGAAGAAAUUGAAGUCGAAUAUAUAAAGGUGGAGAAAUAUGGUGUACAUGUAUCUUAUAUAGAUGAAGAACCCAGCACCACCCCCACAACAUAAAAGUCCUAGGCACACUUAAGCACUAAACUUAAUUCUUGAUGAAGUUGGCCAACAUGCUGCAACACCAGCCAACAUGCAGAUCAUGAAGAUCAACCAAGGCAGAAGCUGCUUCUCAAGCUCAAAUGAUCUAGUUCUUGUUCAUUUAGUAACUUCUAGUUAAUGAAAUGUAAUUUAGUUCAUUUAGUACUAUGUUAGGUAUAUGAUUGAUGUAAUUUACAGCCAUAUGAGCUGUUAAUUCAGCUUUGUUUGUAUGCACAAGUUAAUUACUUCAAGUUUCAAUGUUUAGUGGUGUUAGGUAACUAUUAGGUGAUUGUUUACUGUUUUUGACAAGCUUAGUGCUUGGUUUAUGUAUUGGCAUUAUGCUAUUGUUUACUCAAUGAAUGAAAUCAGUUUGUUCAUCAAUUUUCCUCUCCAUUUUCCAUAGCUUUUUCUUCUUUCUUUUACUCGAAUUCAUUUGAUUCCUCAACAAGUAUCGAGGCUUGUUGCACAAAACACUUGCCGAGUUUGUUAUUUCAGUUACAGCUCCAAAAAUUGGUAUCUAGAGACUAUUUCUUAAGGGAUCUGUUAUACAAAUCUAUGGCUUCAUCAAGCUUUUCACCAACUGCACCUGAAGUCUUCAAUGGAGAAGGCUACCACAUAUGGGUGGUCAAAAUGAAAACCUACCUGCAGGCUUUCGAUCUGUGGGAGGUAAUCAACUCAGAUGUUGAACCAGAGCCACUUAGAGCCAAUCCAACAGUGGCUCAAAUCAGGCAGCAUGCUGAUGAGAGGACCAAGAGGCACAAGGCCAUGUCUUGCAUCCAGAACUCAGUGUCAGAUGUGAUUUUCACAAGGAUUAUGGCCUGUGAAACACCAAAACAAGCCUGAGACAAGUUGCAAGAGGAGUUUCAAGGGACAGAGAGGACAAGGCAGCAACAGUUGUUGAACUUGAGGAGAGAAUUCAAGAAUUUGAAGAUGAAGGAAGAAGAAACUGUCAAGCAGUACUCUGACAGGAUUAUGGCUAUGGUUAACAGCAUUAGGCUCCUUGGAGAGCAGUUCAAUGAAGCUAGGAUAGUGGAGAAGGUUAUUGCAACUCUGCCUGAGAAAUAUGAUGCAAAAAUCUCAUCUCUCGAAGACUUAAGGGACCUGUCCACCAUCUCCCUAACAGAGUUGAUCAAUGCUCUAUAUGCUCAAGAGCAGAGGAGAGCAAGCAUACUGGAGGAGCAUCAAGAAGGUGCCUUUUAAGCAAGAACAAAUAUUGCCUACAAAGGCAAGAAGGGCUGGAGAGACAAGCCAAGGUCUGAUGCUGCAAGAAAAGAGGGUCAGACUUGCAAGCACUGCAGAAGAGUUGGUCAUCCAGAAGAAAAAUGCUGAUUCAAUCCAGAUGCUGUAUGUCAGCAUUGUAAGAAGAAGGGUAAUGUUGAGAGAGUCUGUAAGAGAAAGGCCAAAUCAAGGCAGAAUCAGUUUCAACAGAUGAAAGCUGAGGCUCGAGUGGCUAAAGAGGACAGUGACCAAGAGGAGCAGGUCUUUGAUGUGUCAUGCUCAGCUUCACAGGAAAGACUCUCAUUUGGUUGGCUCCUAAACAGUGGAUGCACCAACCACAUGACACCUGAUGCUGCUAUCUUCAAGUCCUUAGACAGAAGCUGCAAAACUAAAGUCAAGAUAGGUAAUGGUCACCUUAUCCAAGCUGAAGGCAAGGGUGAUGUGCUGAUAUGCACUUCUACAGGUGCCAAAGUGAUUUCAAAUGUGCUUCUAGUGCCUGAAAUUGACAGAAACCUGCUCAGCAUAGCUCAAUUGCUUGAGAAAGGUUAUUCUGUGGUGUUCACAGACAAUCAGUGCCAAAUCAGUGGUCCAAGUGGAUCCAAGCUAAUGGCAGUCCCUAUGGCUGAUAAGAGCUUUGUGGUUGACUGGACAAAGGAGUCAGACAUUGCCUACACAGCUACAUCAGAUGAAUCCAAGCUUUGGCAUCAAAGGCUUGGACAUGCCAACUUCAGAUCGAUGGCUCGAAUGGUCAGAGAGGACUUGGCUGAAAACUUCACCAACUCAGUGGAGCAUGAUGAUGUAUGUGAAGUAUGUCAGCUAGGAAAGUAGGCUAGACUUCCAUUUCCCUCGAAUCAAGCCUAGACAGCCUCUGAAAAACUCUAACUGGUACACACUGAUGUGUGUGGCCCCAUGAAUACUGGGUCAUUAAGAGGAAACAAGUAUUUCAUACUGUUCAUUGAUGAUUUCUCGAGAUAUUGUUGGCUUUACUUCUUGAAACAAAAAUCAGAGGUGGCCUCAGUGUUUUGGAAGUUUAAGACUGCUGCUGAGACUGAAACAGGCCGCAAGCUGAAGACCAUAAGGUCUAAUAAUGGUACUGAGUACACCUCAGCUCAGUUCCAAGCCUUUUGUGAUAAGGCAGGUAUCAAACAUCAACUUACCAACACUUAUACACCUCAGCAAAAUGGUGUAAGUGAAAGGAAGAAUAGGAGUUUGAUGGAUAUGGCUAGGUGCCUGAUGAUUCAGAAGAAUCUGCCUAAAGCUCUAUGGGCAGAAGCAGUUAACACUGCAACCUAUAUUCAAAAUAGGCUUCCAACCAUGGAUUUGGACCAGAAGACUCCAUUCGAGGCCUAGUUUGGAUUCAAGCCAUCACUGGCUCAUCUGAAAGUCUUUGGAUGCAUCUAUUAUGCACAUGUACCUGCUGUUAAACGGGAGAAGUUGUCUAAAAGGGCUCGACCUGGUGUUCUGGUGGGCUACAGCACUGUCAAGAAGUGCUAUAGUAUCUUGGAUCCUUCAACAAACAAAGUGUUAGUUAGCAGGAAUGUGGUAUUCAAUGAGAGAUUAUGUUGGAACUGGGAAAGACAUGAAGCUGAGGAAGUCUCAGAAGAACCUGCAGCAGAUCAAGCUGAGCCAGACCAAAAUGGUCCUGAAAUAGACAUUGAUGAUGAAUCAGUCAGAGGAACAAGACCAUUGACUGAGAUUUAUGAAAGGGCUCAUGUAGCCAUAGCUGAACCAAGCAACUUUGAAGAAGCAGAAGCUCAGCAAGGAUAGAGGCAGGUAAUGGCUGAGGAGAUCAGCAUGAUUGAGAAGAACCAAACCUGGGAAUUGGUUGAAAGGCCAGUCAAAAGGAAGGUAAUUGGGGUGAAAUGGGUAUACAAAGCCAAGCAGAAUGCUGAUGGAACCUUGAACAAACUGAAAGCAAGGCUGGUUGUCAAAGGGUUCAGUCAGAAAUAUGGCCUGGACUACCUGGAGACCUUUGCACCAGUGGCCAGGCUUGACACCAUAAGGCUAUUGAUUGCCUUAGUUGCACAAAUGCAGUGGAAAAUUCACCAGCUUGAUGUGAAGUCAGCCUUUCUAAAUGGAUUUCUUGAGGAAGACAUCUAUGUUGAACAACCUCAGGGGUUUGAAAUAGCUGGGAAGGUGCAGAUGGUAUAUAAGCUGAAGAAAGCCUUGUAUGGCUUGAAACAGGCUCCUAGAGCCUGGUACAGCAGAAUCGAUGGUUACCUUGUUGAUUUGGGAUUCGACAGGAGCAAGAGUGAGCCAACACUCUAUGUUAAGAAGGAAGGGACAUAAACACAGCUUAUUGUGUCUCUGUAUGUUGAUGAUCUGUUGGUGACAGGAGGAGACCAAGCAAUGCUGGCUGAUUUCAAGACCAAGAUGCAUGAGAUGUUUGAAAUGUCUGAUUUUGGGGAAGAUGUCCUAUUUUCUUGGCAUGGAGGUGUCACAAAUGCAGAAGAGGAUAUUUCUAAGCCAGAAGAGCUUCUCCUCGAAGAUUUUAACCAAGUUCUAUAUGGAAAACAGUAGAGCAACAAAGACUCCUGUUGCUGUUGGAGAAAAACUAUCGAGCCAAGGUGAUUUUGAGAAGGUUUGUGAAACAACCUACAGAAGUCUAGUUGGUUGCUUGCUGUAUUUAACUGCAAUGAGACCAGACAUAAUGUAUGUUGUAGGUUUGCUCUCAAGGUUCUUGCAUUGUUGCAAUGAGAAGCAUUUUCGAGCAGCAAAGAGAGUGCUCAGGUAUAUCAAAGGUACAUUGAGCUAUGGCUUGAUGUAUAGGAAAGAAGAAAGCCUAAAACUGUUUGGGUAUACUGACAGUGAUUGGGCUGGCUCAUUGGAUGACAUGAAAAGCACCUCAGGGUAUGCUUUCAGUCUUGGUUCAGCCAUGUUCUGUUGGAGCUCGAAGAAGCAAACCUUGGUGGCUCAAUCAACUGCUGAAGCAGAAUAUGUUGCAGCAGCAAGUGCUGUCAACCAAGCCAAUUGGCUAAGAAAAAUCAUGAAUAAUUUGAAUGUGAGUCAAAAGAGAGCAACAGAGAUCUUUUGUGACAAUCAAUCUACUGUUGCCAUUGCCAAAAAUCCAGUGUUCCAUUGGAGAACAAAGCAUUUCAGCAUCAAACUCCAUGUUGUACGAGAAAUGGAGGAAGCAUUAGAAGUCAAGCUAAUUCAUUGCAAGACAGAUGAUCAAAUUGCUGAUAUUUUGACCAAGGGUCUUAAUGCAACUAAGUUCGAAUAUUUAAGGAAAAUGUUAGGAGUUUGCAGCAUGCUACCCAAUGAGGAGUGAUGAAGUUGGCCAGCAUGCUGCAACACCAGCCAACAUGCAGAUCAUGAAGAUCGACCAAGGCAGAAGCUGCUUCUCAAGCUCAAAUGAUCUAGUUCUUGUUCAUUUUGUAACUUCUAGUUAAUGAAAUGUAAUUUAGUUCAUUUAGAACUAUGUUAGGUAUGUGAUUGAUGUAAUUUGCAGCCAUAUGAGCUAUUAAUUCAGCUUUGCUUGUAUGCACAAGUUAAUUGCUUCAAGUUUCAAUGUUUAGUGGUGUUAGGUAACUAUUAGGUGAUUGUUUACUGUUUUUGACAAGCUUAGUGCUUGGUUUAUGUAUUGGCAUUAUGCUAUUGUUUACUCAAUGAAUGAAAUCAGUUUGUUCAUCAAUUUUCCUCUCCAUUUUCCUUAGCUUUUUCUUCUUUCUUUUGCUCGAAUUCAUUUGAUUCCUCAGCAAGCAUCGAGGCUUGUUGCACAAGACACUUGCCGAGUCUGUUAUUUCAGUUAUAGCUCCAGCAAUUCUUCAGUAGCAUAAGUGAGCUUUAUUUCACCUGUAGUUUUUCUAGUAUAAGUUAGCCAUAACCUAGAGAUUAAGGUUUGACAAUCUAAAUUUGAUUCUAUGAAGGGAAUGAGGAUGACAGAACAGAGACAAUAGGGAAUGGCAAAUCUUCGGAGGUUUGAUGAUGCCACUGCUUAAUUGGAGUUUUUGCCAUACAAGGAGGAACAACUAAGCUGUAAGAACUUGUUUUACUGAAUUCUUGCUUUAUACAAGUGUUUGAACUGAGAUUUUGAGACAACGCAAGUUGUUAACAGAUUUGCCUUCUUCAUUCUAUUCAACAUGGUGCAACUUAAUAUUUUCUUUUCUUUGAUUUUGAUUAUCAUAUCAAUUUGGGCUUAAAUUUCUUUGUAUGCAGCCGCCUUUCAAGUUGUUUGAGCAUUGUAGUGAGGAGAUAUUUAAGAUUCAUACUGACUAGUUGCGGAUUGGUUUUAAUUCAUAGGGAAUUAAUGGUACAUCUUUGGAAAGACCAUUAUAGUUGGAGCUUUAACUACACAAAAGAGGAGGAACAAGUAAGCUUUUAAUUUCUUUUUCUGAAUGCUCGUUUCAUACUUUGUGCUUGAACUGAGAUUUUCAGGCCAUUAUUUAUUUGGGAUUUGCAGAGAUAGUGCUGUUGAAUAUUGCAGUGAAAAUUUCAAUCAUGGAGUUUUGAGAUUUCAAUGCAUUAGCAGAAAAGCUUGAGGGGUUUCAAGUUAAGAUUUCAUAAAAAAAAGCUUCCAGAUUUGGUGCUCAAUUCAUGUCAUAGGCAUCAAUUUUAAGCAAUCAAAUGAUAGUUGAGAUUUAAUUAUAUGGUAUCUCCAUACUCACUGAAGUUUCCUUCAAUGAUUAUUAUUUUUUCCUUACAAAAACACAUUCAAAUUUUAUGUUAUUAAUGGUUUUAUUUGCGUUAAUAAAAAAUUGGAUUGAUUUCUAUUUAAGAAAAUAUUAAUAAGUAGAUUAUUUUCUUCACGGUUCGUGUCCCAUUGAAAGUCCUUUACUUCCAAGAUUACAAGUAGAUCUUAAUAAAUGUAUUUUAAUUAUUAUUAUCCAACGCUUAAUUUAUUGUAUUUGACAAGGCCACUAAACUACUAGUAAAUUUAUAUUUCGAUAAUUUAAUUUCAAAACAUAAUAAAAUAAUCAUUGAUCUAUUUGAAAAGUUUUCCUUUAAAUUACUGAACUAUUCAAAAGUUAUUAAUUUAAGUCACACAUUGCUACCACUAUGACAAACUUACAUUUAAAUACCAAUUUAAAGUCGCUUGUGAUAAUAGUUAUGAAAAGAUCACAAGUGAAUAAUGUUAGGAAAUAGAAAGAUCAAAGGUAUAUAGGUAAUUAUGUUUUGAUUCUAUCUAGUGAGAAUAUGGUUAAGAAAGAUAAAGAUUAUGAGGUGGCUUCAUUUGAAAUCUACAUAGAAAAUCCCAAUUUGGUAGUAGAAGAAACUCAAGAAACCAAAUUCUAUGAAGAAGUCCAUUAUAUAAAGGUGAAGAAAUGUGGUGUUCACUAAACCUAAGACCUCAGUUGCAUACGUGGGUCUCAUUUCGUUUUUCAUAUUACCAUAUUUUUCUACCAUUGUUAAUAGUAGGUUUUUAACUUAUGCAUUGCCUAUGAUGGAAAAUGAAGCACUUUAUACAAGUGUUUGAACUAAUAUUUUGAGAGAAUGCAUGCUUUUGAACUAAUGGUAAGUUGUCAACACAAAUUUGAAGUAAUUUUUUAAAGCCCUUUUGGGAUUCUGUCAAUUCAGUCUUGGUGAAGUAAUUUAAAAGGAAUAAAUCCAAGGUAAAUUGGUGAUCUUAUGUUGAUCCCAUAGAGAAACCCAAUAAAACUAGAGAACAAACUUAUAAUAAAUCCAAAUGAAUCAUUUGGGCUUAGUUUGAAGUGUAAAGUUUGCUUCAAGAAUUUAGUCUUUCUAUUUUUAAGAUUUCAAAAUCUCAAUUGUAAACAUUAUUAAUUUUUUUUGUCAAAUUUGUUGGUGUGGCAUUUUGAAAUUAGAAAAAUUUACUCACUUUAUAACCAUGUAGCUAAAAAAAAUGAUGUUGUAAUGAACCUGAAUUUAACAAAAUAAUUUUAACAAUGUUAAUAGUUAGACCCGAAUUUUGAAAUCUGAAAAGUAGAGGGACUAAAAUUUUAAAAUAAAAGGACAUGGACUAAAUUCUAAAUUUGUGUAGAAUAUAUGGACCUAUGACAUAUUUUAACAGUAAGAUUAUCAGAAAUUUGUUUUUUUAUAUUGAUCUAUACUUGUAAUUCGUGCUGCCGCCUCCAACAAAUUCCUAACAAAUGACACUUAUUGGCAUAUUUGAGCCUAGUUGAGAUCCUAUUUCUUGACCUGGACAUUAUAUAUCAAUAAUUUAUAAGGAAUUCCAUCAAAGGGUAAUUCAUGAAUGGUAACAAGAAGUUUUUAAAGUUAUUUAAGAAAUGAAUUUUUCUUAUAAUAAACCGUCAAAAACAAUCGAGCAUAAGAUAGUAUUGUUGCUCUGUUUUUCAACCAAGCGAAGGAUUAUUCAUGAAAGGAGUCUUCAAAUAGUUACUGUAGACAACACAAAUUGAUUAUUUCAUACAUAAAUAAUAAAACAUCAUAUCUUACUUAUAUGAAAGAAUUGUGGGCAGUGUAAUGACAGGAGAGAUUUGACUAAAAGAUGUUAAUCAAUUUUAAUUUGAGUCCUUAAGCUUUCAGGGAUUUUUGAGAAUUCAAUCACUGGGAAAUGACGGAGGUCUAGAUUAUUAAAAGAUUCCAUCUUGAACCAUACAUUUUUACCCUUGAGCCACUCAUAACUAAAGUCUAAAGAUCACUUGGAGGGUCCAGAGACAGACACACCUCUUCAAUUUGAGUUCCGGAUAAGUUCAAUAUUAUUAAGCUUCUUGGGAUUUCUGGAAAUUUGACCAUUGGGUAAUCACUAGAGUUCAGAUUACGAAAAGAUUACAACUUUGAAAUAUUUCUUGAUACGUUUUUUUACCUUUGAGUUUCUCAAGCUCAACAUUUUAAGUCCGAUGGGAUACUCAAUUGAAUUAGCCACUUCAUCUAUUUUUGAUUCACUUAAUUCUAAAAUAGGAAAGUAAUUUGAGAUCUCAAAAGCCUUCUUGAGAAUAUGAGAUCCGGUAAGUCUAAGCCUUUUAAGUGAUGUUAAAUGAUUGAGGCAAGAAAGUUCAACCAAACUUUCACACCACCUACACAGAAGAACUUCAAGGUUGAUGGCUUCCUUAAAAUAAUAAAAAUAAAUCGAAUAAUGUUGCUAUUAAAUAACCUAUGCUACCACAUGAACAAAAAAACUAUUUUAUCAAUUUAUUAAAUAAUAACCCUUAAAUAAAUGGAUAGAUUUAUAUUUUAAAAAUUAUAUUAGCAAAUGGAUGCUCUUUGUCUUAUUGGAAGACAUUGAUUUCGAGAUUACAAACCCAUCUGAGCAAAAUAAUAAUAAUAAACUCCAUCCACCCCCCUUUUCUUUACCCAUUUUUAUUAUAUAAACUAGUAAACAAUUUUUACUCAAAAGGUUCACAUGUCGAUACCACCAAAUGGCAAAUAUUAUUAUAAAAUAGAUUUUUCAAAAUACAAUGAAUGUGUUCUUCAAAGGUUCACAAAUCUAUUUUGCUCUCUCCUGCUUCAAUCACACAAUCAAUACUCUUUCAUGGCUGCUUCCUCUUCAUCUUCUCCUCAAACAGACACAUGCCUUAACUUCAUCACUCAUCUGCUCAAAGCUUUGAAAGACGCGAUGACGAAUGCCUUCUUUCAUGAUGAAAAACCGGAGCAACCUUCACAAGCACUUCCUCAAGCAAUUGCCUCUUCGUCCUCUUCUACUCGAUUGAAGCAUCAGGUUUUCUUGAGCUUCAGAGGUGAAGACACACGCCUUAAUUUCACCGCUCAUCUACUCAAAGCUUUAAAAGACAAUGGAAUGAAUGUUUUCUUCGAUGAAGAAACACUAGAAAAAGGGGAGCAACUUUCGCAAGCACUUACUCGAGCAAUUGCAGCCUCAAAUCUCUCAAUAGUUGUGUUGUCGGUAGACUAUGCUUCUUCAAAAUCAUGCCUGGCUGAUCUCUCUGACAUCAUGCACCGCAAGGACACUCAAGGACAUAUUGUUCUUCCCAUAUUUUACCAUGUUGAUCCUUCUCAUGUGCGGAAUCUUGGUGGUAGUUUCAAAACAUCCUUCAUUCACCAUGAAUCAAAUAGGCUACAUCGAGUACAACGAUGGAAAACUGCCUUCGCUGAAGUCGGUAAAUUAAAAGGAUGGCAUAUAGAAGGAGGCAAAUUCGACAGGUAACUAUACUUUUCUCAUCAUCUUAUGUUAAUAAUCAUUGUUUUAGAUUUAUAUUUUUUUUAUUAUUUGCUAGACCUGAAACUGAGUACAUCAAGGAUAUCGUUGAAUAUGUUAUAAAGAAGUUGAUGAGUAGCAAGUUUAGAAGUGCUUCUGCAGAGUUAAUCGGAAUAGAUUAUCAGAAAAAGACGAUUUUGAGGCUAAUUGAGAAGGAAGAUAGUCGUCUAAUAGGACUCUGGGGACAAGGUGGUAUAGGCAAAACUACCCUCUCUGAUGUUAUAUACAAUGAAAUCUCUUGUAAGUUUGAAGAUAGUUGCUUUCUUCUAAAUGUUAGAGAGAAGUUAAAAAAACAGGGGAUGGAAUCUUUACGAAAUGAACUUCUUUCCAAACUCUUAAAACAAGCAAUUCAUGUAGACACCCCCUCAAUUGGGUCAACUUUAAUCCAAGAGAGGCUAAGCAAUAAAAGAGUACUUGUUGUCCUUGACGAUGUUAAUGACUCGGACCAAAUAGAUUGUUUUGGUGUUAAACAUUUUGGUGAUGGAAGUAAAAUUAUUGUAACAUCUAGAGAUAGACAAGUACUUAAGAAUGGAGGUGUUGACAAAAUACAUGAGGUAAAGAUGUUAAAUAAAGAUGACUCUCUUCAACUUUUUUCUACAUUUGCAUUUAAACUAUUGAAUCCCGCUGCUGAUUUUCGAGAUCUAUCGAUCAAGUUUGUAGAGUAUGCCCGAGGAAGUCCGCUUGCUCUUAGAGUUUUGGGUUCUAAACUAUAUAAAAAGUCUAGAAAAGAGUGGGAAAGUGAGGUGGAUAAACUAAAAGAAUAUGACCAACCAAAAAUUUCACAGAUUCUGAGAAGUAGUUUUGAUGAUUUGGAUGAAGUAGAGAAGAAUAUAUUCCUUGAUAUUGCAAUCUUCUUUAAAGGAACAUUCAAAAAAGAUGUAGAAGAAAUUCUAAGUUGUUAUUAUAAGGGUGCUGUGUGUGGAAUAAGCAACUUGAUCGACAAGUGCCUACUUGGUAGCACAUCUUAUGAUGGACGGAUUGUUAUGCAUGAUAUGCUUCAAGAGAUGGGCAAAAACAUUGUUCGCAAAGAAUCUAUAGACCCUGGAAAGCGUAGUAGGUUAUGGAGUGCUAAAGACGUGUAUCAAGUGCUCAGUUAUAAUAAAGUAAGCUUUAGUUGUAUUUAUAUUCUUUUUUAUUUUUCAUAUCUUUCUGUGCUUCUAAUUAGGAAGUCAAUUAAUUAUGUGUUGUCAAAUGUUAACAAGUUUUAUUAUUUGAAUUUACUGCACAUAUCACUGUGAAUGAGCAUUAUCUUAGGAUAUAUAACACGAGAUUUUCACAAUGAUUUAUUGAGUUAGUAUCUAAUGCAUUGCUUUAAGAAAACAAAAUAAAAUUAGACCUUUUCUAAUAUAAUUACUUUUUUUCCUGAUAUAAUUGUUUAAUGGAAUGCCCAUUAAUUUCUUUGUGUUGAUACUUUACUUAUUGGAUUUUGUUCUUAGGGGAUUAAUCUAAUUCAAGGAAUAAAGUUAGACAUGUCUCAAAUUGACAACUUACGGUUAGAUCGUUCUAUUUUUGAGGGAAUGAUUAAUCUUAGAGUUAUCUUUUUCUACACUCCUGGGAUGUUUCCGGGUAAGCGUUGGGCAGAAAAACUUCUUGAAGACCAAGUUGAUGGCGUAUCUCUUCCUGAUGAGAUAAGGUAUCUUUGUUGGGAUAACUGUCCUUUCAAAUCUCUAUCAGGCUUUAAUCCAAAGAAUCUUGUUGUGCUGAAAUUAGUAAAUGGCCAUAUAGAACAUCUUUGGGAUGAUGAUGAUCAUCAGGUAUAUUCUUUCAUACUCUUUUCAUCCAAGAUACUUUCGAAAUUUAAAAAUAGUUUAUAAUAUGAUGGAUUCAAAAAUAGUUUAUAAUUUAUACUCCAUAAUACAUUAAAUAUAAAAUUAAUAUUAUUUAUCAUUUUUUAUACGGUCGAAAGUAAUUAUACGAUGUUUAGAAGUAAUAUAACUAUUUAUAUUUUCUUUGCACAGAAUCUUGUUAAUUUAAGGGAAAUUGAGGUUGGUGGUUGCAAGAAAUUAAGGAGGAUUCCUAGUCUAGUAGGAGCAAUCAACCUUGAAAUCCUUCACUGUAGGUGGUGUGAAAGUUUGGUUGAACUUCCUUGCCUCAGCCAUUUAGCAUCACUUAAGAAACUUGGACUUACAGGAUGUGAUAAUCUUAAGACGUUUCCCGAGAUCCCAAAACACUUUCCUAUUUUAGAAUUAGAUAGAACUAAAUUAGAAGAAGUGCCUGCUUCAAUUGAGCAUCUGGUCGGACUCAGAAAGUUGUGCUUGAAAAACUCAAACGUCAAUAUUGUAUCAAGAAAUAUUUCAAAGUUGGAAUCACUUUGUGAUAUGGAUCUUAGUCAUUGUCCAAUGGUCGAAUUCCCAGAAAUUCCAAGAAGCUUGAUAAAUUUAAACUUAUCUAAAACUCAAAUUGAAGAGGUGUCCUUGUCUCUCGACUCUCGACUCUCUAGGUAAUCUUCAAACAUUAGAUAUGAGUGGCUCAAGGGUAAAAAAUGUAUCGAUCAAGAUGGAAGCCGCCCUUCGUGAUCUGAAUCUUAGUCAUUGCCCAAUGACAGAAUUCCCAGAAAUCCCAAGAUGCUUAAGAAAAUUGAAUUUAUCUAGGACUCAAAUUAAGGAAGUGACAUUGUCUUUAGACUCUCUAAAUAAUCUUCAGAUGUUAAAGAUGAGCUGCUCAAGUAUUCAAAAGCUACAAUGCAGUAUCAUCCUAUUCGGUUUAAGAGAGAUUCCAACAGUUGAUGUGUCCUCACCAAUCUUGAUGUCUAAAAUCAUUUAUAGGUUGCAAAUGGAUCAUUGCGAGAGUCUUACAUUACUCUCAGAGCUUCCACCAUAUAUUCUGUACUUGGAUGCACAUGGUUGUACAUCAUUAGAAAAAGUAUCAUUUACAAAUCUCGAUGCUUUAGAUGAUGAUGUUGCCGAUUGGUUUUACAUGUUAUUCUGUAAUUGCUUCAGCUUGAGUCAAGAUUCAAUUGAUAACAUUGAGGCAAAUGCCAUGCUCAAAAUUGGAUACCUGGCAGAGAAACAGAGAUUGACAUGGGAGUAUCCUUAUCUUUAUAGAUUAUUUUGCUGUUUCACUGGAAACAAAAUUUCAACAAAUAUGUUCGAGCAUCAGAGCACGAGUUCUUCGUUAGUUUUGAAGAUAGCCCCAAAUGGGUCCAGUGGGAGCAGAUUCUUGGUCUUUUCCAUCUGCCUUGUGGCUGAUCUCACGCGCUGCCACCACCAUGAAUAUCUUAAAUUUACCUGUGAAUACCAAUUGACAACCACCAGUGGUGGUGAUUAUGAAAAGUUCACAAGUCAGUGGAGUUCCUGUACAGACCUUGAGACGGAGAGGAAGUAUAUGGGUGAUCAUGUGCUGAUUCUGUUUAGUGA